AGAAUUUUGCUUGAUAAUGCAUUGUGCCAAUGUCCUAACCUUACCUGAACGAUAUAAAGUGCAAUCACGGGACAGUGACACCGUUUUUCCCCAAAAUUGGAAUUAAUAAUGUGUUUCUUACGUGUGCGUCAGGUAUUCACGAAUGGAUCAAAUCUUAUUACGCUUUCCCCUAAAAUUAACAUGUGAUUCGGAACACUGGUGGGGGAUUUGCCUCUACAUACAUAGUUAAAGCUUUCAGUAUGUAUAUAGGAGCCUGCGUAUACACAUAUACAAUUCAAUGCUUACACUAGCGCUUCUAUCGGUGGCGUCAUGAAAUUACCGUUGGCUGCAUGCGUUCCUGUUGAAAAAAUUCCUCACGGGCGAAAGUCAAGGAGGGGCUUUGUGAGACAACCCGCGCGAAACUCUUUUCAACGUAGGGAGAAUGGUAGCUUCCUGGUAGAUAUGUUUCUCGGGUAAUUCGAGGCUUGCAUGCGGGAUGUGAGCACAAAUCACGUGCUUAUUAAGAAUUAAUACGUGCAUAUUAAGAAGACAACAUCGGAAACGGUUGAGUUGUUUGAAGAUAUUUUUAAUAGAAAAACUAUAUUU